UUUGAAGCUGGUUUCCUGAAGGAAUUCUUCCAGACAAGUUGUUGUAAGACAAGUUCAAGUGGUUUAAAAAAGUUAAAGAUGACAAGCUUUGAGGAAUUUGUCCUGAAAGGUGGUUGUGUGAAAGAUCAAGAGUUUCAAGCAAGUGCAAGUUUCCGAUGUUGAAUGGGAUCUUUCACGUUAAUUGAUUCCUGGAUAAGUUCAAGGUACCGAAUUGAAUGAGGCUACUUAUUUCUUCAGGGAUUUCACCUUGUAAAUUAUUUGAUGAAAGAUCAAUGCUCUUUACAAGAUUUAUAGUCUUGUUGUACACAAGUUCUCUUCCUUUUAGUGUCAGUGUGAUUUGCUCAAUAGCACCAAUAGUGUCUGCAUUUAAAUCGUCCACCAGCGAAGCCAAAUUAUCCAGACACUUGGGAAUAGUACCUGAAAGGUUGUUGUGACUAAGGUCAAGGAUAUGAAGAUGUCGAAGAUUGCACAGUUGCUGGGAUAGAUGUCCACUAAAAGAGUUGGACCGUAAUUGUAUCCAGUACAACACGGAUACAUUUGGUCCUCCUAUCCAUAGAGGUAUGUUACCAUAUAACUUGUUGUCUCCGAGAUCUAGACUUCUCAAAAUAGAACAAUUUCGCAACGAAUUAGGAAUUUCACCCCCAAAAUUGUUGUUGUUGAGCUUUAAUACUUGCAGUGAACUUAAUACCCCCAAUGAAGUGGGAAUAUUACCAGAGAGAUUGUUCAGACCAACAUCUAGAAACCACAGUUUGCUCCCCACAUUCCAUGCACGAGGCAAUUCUCCAUAAAAUUGAUUGCUCCUUAGAGACAAGACUCCCAAUUGCUGCAUGUUGCAAACGGAGGGAGGAAUAGUGCCAGUCAAAUGAUUCUCAGAAAGUAACAAGGCAUCCAAAUUGGGCAUCAUUUGGUCAAUAUUAGAGGGAAUUGGCCCGAAAAAUAGAUUGCUUUCGAGAUCAAGCUUCUGCAAACUUUUAAACAAUCCUAAGGAGGCAGGCAGUUGGCUUUCCAGCUCACAAUAAGACAAAUCUAGGGACUCUAAUGCUAUAUUUGGACAAUUCGAGAAACUCCUCCAAAACUCUUCAAUACCCCCUUUAAAUUCGUUUUGAGAAAGGCUUAAGACCUUUAGCUUGCACAAAUUUCCAAUGACUUUUGGAAAAUUACCAUUGAAAUGAUUCCCAGAUAUAUCAAGUGUUAUGAGGCUGGUGAGAUUAAAAAGCCAGCUGGGAAAUGAAGAACUAAACAUAUUAUCUGACACAUCAAGUACCAAAAGUGAUGUCAAAUUAAUGUGUCGCAGUGAGAUGAGUGGAAUGAUUUCAAUUCGGCAAAAAGAUAAGAGUAACUCUGCUAAUGAAGGAAGCAUAUUAACAGCAUACACCCAAUUGACUGCUUUGGUGCUAAGAUCCACCGAUCCGAGAUCAAGGUAUUUAAGAGAAGAAAGGCGAGACAGCCAAUUCAACUUUCUGGAAGUUAAGCCAAUAUUCCACCCAAGAUCAAGAAAAUUGAGGCUUGACAGAUUACCAAGAGAAGGGGGAAUCUCUCCUCCAAAUGACGCAGAGGAGAGAUUGAGAUAUUGCAAACUUUUAAGCUCCCCGAAGAAGUUAGGAACUUGAAUGCUAUAAAAAUCAUUAUUGCUUAGGUCCAGGUAAUUUAAAUGUUUCAAGCUCAACAGAGAAGCAUUUAUCUUACCUCCCAAGCGAAACUUUUCAUACAUGUCCCGCUCUUCAUACGGAUUCCGGAGGUCCAUCUUCACCACAUGACCGGUCCGGUUGUUGCAUGAAACACCUUUCCAUUGACAGCAAUCGUGACCUACCCAAGAGGAAAGCCUGCCAGAAGGAUCAACAAGAUGUUGUUUAAAGAUGAGAAGCGCUUGUCUUUCUUUGUCGAUGCAUGGAUUUGUUUUCACACUGCUUGAAAGUGCACCACCGGCCAAACAGAAACAGGUUUUAGUAGUACUCUGCAUGUAGGAAGAGGUCAAAAGAACAAGAAGGAAAUAGUGAGCAAUACUGAGGUGAUGGUGGGAAUCCAUUACCACACACAAUUUUCUUUGCUAUCUUUGCUGAUGAUGAUGUUUAGCUUCUAAAUUUCAGAAUUUAUAGGAAAAGAUUAUCGAUGUAGGUCAGGGAGUUGAAAUGAAAGCCGUCUGAUGGAGAAAAGAAAAAAGGGUAACUGAAACGAAUGGCGGGUCUUCACAACCCCUUUUACAACUUAUCAUCCUAUUUACUCUUCUUUUCUUGUGGCAUAACAUUACGAAAACGAAUUUAGAUAUGUUUUAUAUUUUGUUCGAAGGAAAACGGAUAUAGAUGUGUCAGGUUCAACAAGUUUGGAAGUCCAUCGCCUACACCACACUUGCUGGUACUCUCUACUUGGAUAUGACUGUCGUGUCGUUAAUUACAAAUUUUCUAAACAAUGGAAUUGUUAUUGACACUCCAAAAUCGUCAUUGUCACAGAAGUCGGUUUCUCAUUUGUUUUUCACUAAUGAGAAAUACAGAGAUUUUUCUAUGGAAGGGCUGUGUAGUACCAAAUGAAAAUGCAUGCAUGAUCCGCGGAAGUCUUGGCACACCAAUUAGUCUUUGGUGGAAAAUCCAUAUGCAGCUAAGACUUUGAAUUGUGAGUCUUCUCGAGUGUCUGUUAGAGAGCUAGAGAGACAUAAUUCGAAUGUUUGUUCAACAACGCAGUGCAAGUAUACUUGUAAACGGAAUUUUUUGAAAUGUCCAAUGAACUUGUACACAUCCUUCAUUUUGUCAUAUAAACUAAAAUUUUAAGCAAUUUGUAUACCAAUUUCCCGAAAUCAUUAAUCUGUCAUCUCGCCAUAACUCUAUUAAGUUUUCUAUCUAAAAUAAGUCAUCUGCCUCCAUUCAAUUUGUCAUCUCAUCCUCACUCCGUUUAAUUUGUCAUCUCCGCCUAACUGAGGUGAUAGUGGUUGUCCAUUAUUACACACAAUUUUCUUUGCUAUGCUUUGUUGGAAAUGAUGUUUUUGUUUCCUACAAAUUGUAGACGUAGGUCGGGGAGUUGAAACAAAAGUCGUCUGAAAGAGAAAAGAAAAAAGGGCGGGUCUUCACAACCCAUUUUACAAGGUAGCAAGUCCAUUGUAGACACAGCUGGGACCUGGAGACUUCGAAUUAACGGUCUUCAUCAGCUGGGAACUGUUCUCUUCUUGUGGUGUAAAAUUAUGAAAACGGAUUUAGAAAUGUUUUAUAUUUUGUGCCAACGAAAAUGGAUAUAGAUGUGUCGGUAUGAACAAGUUUGCAAGUCCAUCGCCUACUCCUCACUUGCUGGUACUCUACUUGGAUAUGACUGUCGUGUCGUUAUUUACAAAUUUUCUAAAUAAUGGAAUUGUUAUUAACACUCCAAAAUUGUCAUUGUCACACUAGUCGCUUUCUUAUUUGUUUUUCACUAAUAGGAAACACUUAUUUUUCUAUGGAAUUUUCCGAAUUCUAAUGAAGCCGUGUAGGAGCAGAUGAUGACGAGUGCAUGCUGGAGAUGGCUAGCCAUGGAAGUGUUGGCCCUCCAAUUAGUCUUUGGUGGAAAAUCCAAAGUCUGUCGGAGAACAGAAAAUAUAUCAUAAUUACAUUAUAUUUUUUCAGUUAACAUCCCACAAUCCAAAGUCUUUGAAAGGGUAAUUCUAUUAACAUCCCACAAUCUUAUGAAUACACCCCAUAAUUUUAUUUUUUCAGUUAAAUUUCCAUUUUUACCCUGACUUGAAUUAAGUUCUAAAGUCCAAAAUAAACCCCAUCCACCCUCUUAUGCUGGUUGCCAACCACCAUCGUGUCAGGGCAAAAAAUCUCAACCACUCGCCAUGCUCUCUCUCUCUCUCUCUCUCUCUCUCUCUCUCUCUCUCUCUCUCUCUCUCUCUCUCUCUCUCUCUCUCUCUCUCUCUAUAUAUAUAUAUAUAUAUAUAUAUAUCCAAUAACCAACCACUUGCCGGUAGGUAAUAGGGAAUUGGGAGAUGGGGUGUGUGAAUCAAGAGUGUUGGGCAAUUCUCAGUCUGUUAGAGAGCCGGUCUUGGCUGUAAACUUCCGCGACGUGGGAGGUUUAUGGCUGUGUUGAUAUCGAUGACGGAUACCUCUUAUAUGGGUGGCCCAUGGCCGUCGAGCUAGCUUUUUUGCCGUCAUUUGUUUAUGGGGAUGGGGUGGCUUCAGAAAAAUGGAGGACAAAGCUGGAAUUUUAAAGGCACAUUUUAGAUGUGGGGUGUAUUCAUAAAGAUGUGGGGUGUUAAUAAAACAACCCUAGUUGAAAAUACUUAUCUUACAAAGCUUUUUUGGAAAGUGAUUUUUACACACAAAUUUUAAUUUGUCACACACUACUUUUUAUUUCUAACCAUUAAAUUGAAUAAAUCAAACAUAAUCAAUGGAUGUAUAAGGGCAUCUCCAGUGGAGUCUCUAAAUAAGGACAACCACCUUAUAAUGGGUAUAAAACAAAUAUAGGGACAAAAUGAAUCUCCAAUUUAUCGGAAAGUGAGUCCCCAAAGUAGAGGGACUCAUCAGAUACAUAGUUGUAUGUCUCACAUAUAGGGAUUAUAUAGAGAUGACCUUGAGUGAAAAACGGAACCCACAAUCUUAAUUGAAGCUUUUAAUGUUUUUAAUGCUUCUAAUUAAUUAAAAAAUGGUUAAUAUAAACAAAAAAAUGUGCACAUUGAGUGGAAAACGGGACUCACAAUCUUAAUUGAAGAUUUUAAUACUUUUAAUUAAUUAAAAAAAUGUUAACAUAAGCAAAAAAUGUGCACCUAAUCAAAUUAUCACAUAAAAUCAUAAAAACUUCAAAUUUAGAGAUUCUAUUAUAAGGAUUCUAUCAUUGAAGACAAUAUUUCUUUAGGGUCACAAAUAUUUCCUUUUAAGUCCUUAAAUGAGUACUCAAAAGUGGUGAUGAGAAUACCUAAAUAUGGACCUUCAUUGGAGAUACUGUGUGCAUUUAUUAUUUUUAUUUUUUCUUCCUUGAUUUUAUUCCAAAAUUAGGAAAUAGCUUCUGAAAAACUGAUUUCACACUUUUUUUGUCAUCUAUACUUUUGUUGGAUAGAUUCGUAGAAGGAAGCUUACCUUAAACGACGUCAUUUUGGAAAUAUCUCUUGCUCUUAUCGGAUUCUGAUCUCCAGAGAUGGAGGGGAAUGAGAACAGUUGACCGUUGUAGAGGUCUGAGUCACCUUGUUAAAUCGGCGGUCUUUAUUUUUGUUUUUUUUGAAAUAAACACGAUUUUACGUUACUACCCCUUUCCUCAUUUUCUUUGGUCAACGAUACCCCCUGCUUUCCUCAGUAUAUAUAUAUAUAUAUAUAUAGAUUUUAUUAUAUGAUUUAUAAGCACAAACUAGAAUUUUAAAUUAAUUCCAAGUUAAUACAUAAAUGUUUGUGGGAACAUUUAUUGAAAGAUAGAAUUCUUUUAUUCAAUACAAAAGUUCCAAGAAGUACCUUAAACCAAAUAGAAAGGAAACCACAAAUAUACAUAGUACAAUCAAACAUUAGAAAACAUUAUUCGGAAACGAGCCACUUUCAAUGCAAAUGCUAGUGCCAUCUUGUCUUUGAUGUAGUCGAAGAAUUGAAAUUAGGCAUACCUCCAUGUUGUUUUUAAGAUCAACGUGCCACACAUGCCUCAAAAGCCUACGAUGAACCAAGUACUACACUAACAUAAAACCACAACUUAUCAUCAUUUCUCACUUCAUUCUUGUCCCUUCCAUCCUUAGCUCACACACAGAAGGUCAUGAACACAUUCAUGUAACCUUGUUAAAAAAUAAAGCACAAAAAACCUCUUUAACGCCAAUUCAACAUCAAAUUAAAAGAAAAUACCGAGUCCUUUCUUUCAAAUUAACAUCAUCCAACAGCAAGCUCAAUCUUUACAUUCAAAAUUACAAUUUCUGUCGAGCCAUCAAAAUUGUUAUCCAGCCACAGCUACAUGCGAAAACUGCCAUUACGAGCCACUUUCGCAACCAACUUGGUCUCAAUCUAUAGCAGCAUUGCCAAUUUGCCAGAAGAUAUUAAGCUAUAGUAAGUUAAUUACAACUAUAUCAACAACCUCUGCACUUCCACAGAAGGAAGUAAAUCACUUACCUAAAUUGGCCCUAACCCUAAAGCUAAAGUAUAUCAACAACCUCUACACUUUACGAGCCACGGUCCUCUGCUUGGUCGCGUGCUGUACUACUUUUUCCUCUACAGGAAGCCCCUUCUUCCUUCUUACCGCGUUAAUUAGUUUCCUCGCAGUAUUGGGAAGCACACUAGAACCGUCACCAAACUCCUCAAGUUCUUCUUCUGUUUUCGGUACAAAAGAAAGGAUCCUCUAGAAGUGCUUCCCAGUGACUAAGCACAAGAAGAGCACUUGCAGCACCAGCAGUCUGUCUUCUAAGCUCAUCCGCAAAACCAAAGCUUUCAGGAACUGUAUGAGCAAAUGAAAAGGUACCAACAUUAUUUUAGAGGCAUCACCCCCUACAAUCCAAGAAGAGUUGCUUUUGACAUUGCUGACAUCGGCCAAUGCUCUUCUUCCCACAUUUUUAUUUGCUAAGAUAAGGACAACAAAAAUUUGAAAGGAACUGGUUCAAGAUGUGUAACACAACUUUGCAUAACAAGUACAGUCUGGUUCAACCUUACACGCCGAACUACAAAGUAUGCCUUUUCGCUUCUUCAUACUUUUCAAACCAGCCUUGAUAACAAAACAAUUUACAGAUAGAAAGCAGUAAAUAUAUAAUUAAAACAAAAACUGCUUAUCACAAGAAAUAACACUCCAUCCCAAUCCCCCUUAAAACAAGCAGUGGAAUAUGAAUGUCGUCGGUUACCUUUAAAGCAGCUGUAUUCUCCAGAGUCGAUACUUUGUUAACUGCUGCAUUACUCCUGAAAUAAAAGCAGCACACAGAUAUAAUUCCCCUUACAAUCUAGGUAAUUGCCAAGAACUUGCAGGAAGUGGGCAGAUACGGCUAAUAUCUAUUACUUUUAGGCCUCUACUUAGCUACAUCAUUGUAAUACAAAUCCCAGAUUUAAAUUCUGGAAUGAAGGCUUAGUUGAUUUCAGUUCUAAAACAACUAAGACGUUGAUUAAAACCAUAACAUUCGAUAAUUGAAAUGAAAUUGCACAAAUUUAAAACUAAAAUUACCUGAUCCCGCCAUCAGCUUUGGCAGUGUCACUUUCUGUGUAAACCUUAAAGCUUGAGCCACCAACUGUUUAAAAUAUUGAAAAAGAACGUCAAAAGUCAAUAAAUCACCACCAUAAGAAGUUUAAACCAGCAGAAGAGCCAAUAAUUUCUAGAAAAACCGAGAGAAUUUCAAUCAAUCAAGACAAAAUUCACGAGAAAGCAACUUCCACAAAAGAAACCCAUAAUUAGACGACAGUAAUUCAAAUUUAAAAACGCAGCCCUAGUUGAAUUUGAUUGUUUGAAGAAAUUCGAUUUUUCAAGAGGUACAUGGAGACGACAGAUUGUUGGAUAGAUUCAUAGAAGCAAGCGUACCUUAAACGACGUCAUUUUGGAGAUAUCUCUUGCUCUUCUCGGAUUCUGACGGAAAGGACUGAGAACAGUCCACCGUUGCAGAGGUCUGACACAUCUUGUUAAAUCAGCGGUUUUUAUAUAUUUCGCUUUUUGAAAGACUCAUCCAAUUCUCUUAUUUCUACAACAUAUUAAUAUUUUACCCAUCAUAAAAAAUUAAUAACUAAAAGCGUUAUUUUCUCAUCGACCAUUAUUUCUAAAAUAACCUCUAAUGUUUCCUUAAUUGUUAUGAUCCUAGCUGCACCAGAACCUCCUCCCACCUCCAUAGAAAACAAAAACCUUUGACACAUACUUGGCGGCAUCUCUUUUGGAAAGAGAGAGAAACGGAAGGGGGGACGAAGAGAGCAUAGGGGACAAAGAGAGAGAAAUACGGGGAGAUUGCUCCAAUACAAAGGCAGAUUGCUCCAAACCGAUUUAGUCCAAUUGGAAUUGGGUAUUUUUUCGAUUUUAAAAUUUGAGUUGUCGUCGUUGUUUGUCUGUGAGGAAGAGAAAGAGAGGGUAUAGGAGGUAGUACCGAAAUUGAAAGUGUCAUCUCCAGGGCACUUAGUUGAGAGAGGAACACCACAUAGCGAUGGAUUUCCCAUAUAAAUGGACGAAAAAUUGAGUGUUUGAAGCCGGUUUCCCUAAGGAAUUCUCCCAGACAAGUUGUUGUAAGACAAGUUCAAGUGGUUUAAAAAUGUUAAAGAUGACAAGCUUUGAGGAAUCUAUCCUGAAAGGUGGUUGUGUGAGAGAUCAAGAGUUUCGAGCAAAUGCAAGUUUCCGAUCUUGGAGGGGAUCUUUCCAGUCAAUUGAUUCCUGGACAAUUUCAAGGUACCCAAUAGAAUGAGGCUACUUAUUUCUUCAGGGAUUUCACCUUGUAAAUUAUUUGAUGAAAGAUCAAUGCUCUUUACAAGAUCUAAAGUCUUGUUGUACACAAGUUUGCUUCCUUUUAGCGUCAAUGUGGCUUGCUCAAUAAAACUAGUAAAGUUUAUAGAUGAAGCAUUGACAAGUGAAGCCAAAUUAUCCAAACACUUAGGAAUAGUACCUGAAAUAUAUGUCCACUAAAAUAGUUGAACCGUAAUCGUAUCCGAUACAACACGGAUACAUUUGGUCCUCCUAUCCAUAGAGGUAUGUUACCAUAUAACUUGUUGUCUCCAAGAUCUAGACUUAUCAAAAUAGAACAAUUUUGCAACGAAUCAGGAAUUUCACUGCCAAAAUUGUUGUUGUUAAGCUUUAAUAUUUGCAGUGAACUUAAUACCCCCAAUGAAGUGGGAAUAUUACCAGAGAGAUUGUUCAUACUAACAUCUAGAAACCCCAGUUUGCUCCCCACACUCCAUGCAUGAGGCAAUUCUCCAUAAAUCUGAUUACUCCUUAGAGACAAGACUUCCAAUUGCUGCAUGUUGCAAACAGAGGGAGGAAUAGUGCCAGUCAAAUGAUUCUCAGAAAGUAACAAGGUUUUCAAAUUGGGCAUCAUUUGGUCAAUAUUGGAGGGAAUUGGCCCGAAAAAUAGAUUACUUUCAAGAUCAUGGUAAAUGGCAUUAGUGGACCACCAAAGUGGGAGUGGGCCCUCCAAUUGAUUAUGACUCAAAUCAAGAUACUCUAAUUUUGGAAAUUUCAAAUAGGAUGGAAGGUUUCCACGAAAUUGGUUGUAAGACAAGUCUAGUCGGAUGAGCUGGGCAUAAUUCUUCAAUAGCCAUUCCUCUGGUAUGGAAUCCGAGAUUUCAUUACCACUAAGAGUGACGUCGCCCAGUUCAGUUUGUGAUUGAAGCCAUACCCCAAAAUCAGGACCACACUACAAAAUUAAACGUCAUUAGCGAGGGUCAAAUGCUGUCGGAAAAGGUAAUUUGCCGUCACAAAUACUUAUUUCCGACAGGAAAAAGCCCUCACUGGGCGUCGGAAAUUGCUCCAUCGGAAAUACUUUUUUCUCGACCAGCCGUCGAAAAUGCUUCAUUUCCAAGGCAUGAGGCUCGUCGUUACUAGUUAUCUUUCCGUCGGAAAUGAAUUUUCAAAAUGACAAAAUUAUUUUAUUUUCGACAUGUCAAUAUGGUCGCAAAUACUUAUAUGCCCGUUGAAUAUACUUUCUAAACGACGACAUCUCUUUUUUCCAAUGAUUUUUUAUGACCAAAACAUUGUGUCAAAAAAUGUUUUUCCAAUAGUAAAAUGUUAUUUGCAAGAGUAUAUAAUCGUCGCAAUUACCAUUACUAACAAUUAAGAAUUGUCAAAAAUAUGCAUAAAAACAUAUUUAUGAGGGUCAAGAGGCGUUGGAAUUAUAUAUGGGCGAUUAUCCUAUUUGUCGGUAAAAAACAAAAGGAUACAAAUACAAUUUUUUUUUUAUAAGUUCAAUAAUAUUUUCAAUGGCAAUUUUUAUGGAAUGAAUUGUUUUAUAUUAAUGAAACCAUAUAUUCAACUACAUAUACCAAAAAUCAAUGUAAAAAAUUUAAAGUACUUGUUACAAUCCUAUGAUACGUCUUGUAACGCUAGUUUUCCAUGUCCGCUUUAACCAACCAUUGAGGAGUUCGAAUGUAGAAGCGCUUCAACAAUGAAAAUCCCACCUUCAUGACCUUGGCCAUGUUUGAUAUGUUUCUUUACCUGCAAUGACAGAGUAAAUGUUUAGCAGCAACCAAAUCCAUGUAAUUCAUUGGAACCGAAUGACCAAAAGCCUUGAGCAUUGAAAGAAAUUAGUUUUGAGACUAUUAAGGAUCAAAUAGCAAAAAGCCUUGAACAUUAUAUACUACAUUCGCGUUUGAAUGGUAUCCUUCAAACGUAAUUACUUUUUUCAACACAAUAGAACUCAUCCAAUAUGCAUUACACAAGACAGGGAACUUGAAUACUAAUAUGACCAUUAGAAGAGCUUCCAAGCAUUAAAGAUACUUUUAAUAAAUAAGCAUACUGUCUACAGACUAUCAACCACAUUACACUGGCCAAUUCCAAUUGCUCAAUGGUAGUCGUGAGAAAAAAGCAUAAACCCAAAAACAUGAUCGAACAUUUUUGUUGAGAUAAUCAUAGAGAUCAUCUACAAUCUCAACCGGAUUGGAGUGACCACAACAGAAUGGAUUUGUAAGAAGUUCUCUCAUGAAGAAAGAUGUUAUAAUAUUGAAUGAAACUAUAUAUAAAGUUGAUUAAAGAAUUGCAAGACAAAAUUAGUUAAACGAGAACAAUAUACCAAAUUACAAAUAAUAGGGCUGGACUAAUACCAGAUUGUUGCCUUCCACGAUGGCGUGCUUUUGAGAAGGAAUGACUCGCUUAAUGACACUCACCCUUGUCUUUGCCUUUUGUUAUCAUUACCUACAAAUGAGAUUAGAAAACUAUUAAUUAAUAAAUAACAGAUUAGAAAACUAUUAACACCCACCCUCGCUUGAUGACAACCACCCUUGUCUUUCUAACCCAUUUCAAAUUAAAACAGAUAUCCCCUGCAGAGCCAACAACAAACAACAUUACAACCAAAAUUUGUGGUAUUUCAAUGGCUGAUUAACAUCACACUCACAUCAAAUCUUAUAGCAUAAGAAACAACCCCAUUUCCUAAAAUAAGCAAGUGGUCUCAUCGAAUUUCCUGAUAAAUACAAUUUUCAAGGAAGAACUUGGAUUUACAAGUAAAGUAGCAAAUAACCCAGUUUCCAAACGCGUUCCAAAAUGUCAUAACCCUUUGAGAAAUUUCAUCAAACACUUGGUGGUCAUCCUACGCUUAACGAAAAAUUACAAGAAAAAACAGGUACUCACUGUUACAGAAGAAGCCGCGGACUUGGGUGCGCAGUCGACCGAAACUCAGCGCAGUUGUGGUGUGUAGCAAAGGAGCCCAUGGUUUUCCCUUCUAAAGUUAAGUUCAGAUCAACGAAUUUUGAGGGGUUUGUUGUUGCAGAGUAGAAGGGAGGACGAGUUCGCCAGGAACUCGCCGGGUUUGCAAUCAGAGAUGGUUUUGCUUUUGAUUUCGAAAAGGCGGAACUGGGCUCGGGUUUGCAGAGGUGGAAGCGUGUGGAAAUUUUUGGAUGAAGGCAGAGAUAGAGAGCAACGGAGAAGAUGGUGUUGAUUUUGAUGAACGAAAUGAAGGCUGGAGGCUAGGGUUUUGUUUAUGAAAAGGAAAGGCAGAGAAGCUACUUGAGAUAAGUGAAAAGGACGAGAGAGUGCUAAAGGGCACUGAGUGCUCUCUUUGGAAAUUGAGAGUUGAGUUUUUAGAGGUCCAUGCCAAAAUUUCUGCAGCCCACCAAAAUUUUAAGGCCUGUUUGGUAGUGUACUUGAAUCUAACCUUUUAAACUCAAAAAUAAUUUUCAAGUUUUAGGCUUUAAAAACUUGUUUGGUAGGACUAUUUUCAAAAACUGAACUCAAGACUAACUCAAAAAUAUAGUCUAUUCUCUAAAAACAUAAAAAUUGAGUUUUUAGAGUUUUUAAAUUUAAAUUCACUUCUUUCUUUUUUCUUCCUCAUCCCCUUUCACUUCAAAUCUAUCUCUCUUUUCUUCUUUCUCUCUCCUUUUUUUUUUAUCUUUUUCGUCUCUUCUCCAAUUCGCUCUCUUCAUUCUUUAGGUUCUUUUUUUCACCUAUCUUCCUCUUUAUCUCGUCUAAUUCUCUAUCUUCUUUCUUUUUCCUUAAAUCAUCUCUUACUUUCUUUCCUCCUCUCUCCUCUUUCUACAUCUCUUGCUACCCCCUCUUUUUACAUCUUUUUGUUAUAGUUUAAGUCGUAAGAUUUAAAAAUUAAAUUGGAAACUAAUCAAGUUUUUGAGUCUUCAAGAAAAUUGUUUUCAAGAAAUGUUCUUAAAAAAUGUUUUGAGAAAUGAUAAAAAUUUUCAAAUAGGAUACCAAACAGGCCCUUAGUCUCCCGCCUCCACCAAUUUUUUUUAAUUGUAUUGUAUAUAUGAUUCUUUUUUUUUUGGGUCCAAUGUAUGAUUAUAUUUGAAUUGAUUGUUUUAGGCGAUAUGUGUUCUACAAAACUAAUUUCAACGAUCCAAUCGUCAAAAUUGUUUGUGUAUACUCCGAUAUCACAUACGUCAAAAAUCGCAAGAAAUAAAUAUUCAGAGAUUUAAAAGAAAAAUCACGAUUUAACGGUUAUUUUAGCUCCUAUUAUGAUAACUUUUUGUAGCUACACUCCUCGACCCUAUAAGAAUACAAUGAAUGAAUUUGAUCUUCCAUUUAAAAUAUUUACACUAGUGGAUACCAAAAAAUCUUAUGUUAUACUUAAUAGAAGUAUAAAAUAAACUCAUAGUGUUUGUUGAAUCUAUCAUUUUGGCAGGAUACGCAUUAUAUGAAACUAGUUUCAGCGAUCCAACCCUCAAACUUGUUUGUAUAUACUCUGAUGUAGCAUAUGUCAAAAAUCGCAAACAAUAAACAUUUAGAGAUUAGGUAACGGAACGAAAUUUUCAACGGUGAUUAAUUAAAAAUCAUGAUUUAACGGUUAUUUUAGCUCCGAUUUUGAUAUUUUUUUUACAACUACACUCUUCGACCUUAUAAGGAUACAAUGAACUAAUUCGAUAUUCAAUUAAAAAUAUUUACACUAGUGGAUACCACAAAAUCUUAUGUUAUACUUAAUGGAAGUAUAAAAUAAACUCUAAGUGUAUGUUGAAUCUAUCGUUUUGAUGAGACACUCAUUCUACAAAACUAGUUUCAACGAUCCAACUGUCAAACUUAUUUGUAUAUACUCCGAGAUAGCAUACAUAAAAAAUCGCAAAAAACAAACAUUCAUAGAUUAGGUAAAGGGAAAAAAAAUUGACGGUUAUAAACGGAAAAUCACGAUUUUACGGUUAUUUUAGCUUCGAUUUUGAUUUUUUUUUUACAACUAUGCUCCUUUCCCUAUAAGAAUACAAUGAACUAAUUUGAUCUUCAAUUUAAAAUAUUUACACUAGUGGAUACCACACAAUCUAAUAUUUUUUUUCUAGUCAAUGAUCUUUUUCAACGACAACUAUAUGCCCUCAUAAAUAAAUAUCUAUUUUCGAGAGCCAUUGGUUGCCCUCGCAAAAUAGAUGGUUAUUUUUUAAGGCCUCUACUUCCUCUCGCAAAUACACAAUCAUUUCCGAGAACAAAUAAUCAUCAUCGAAAAUAGGGAAAUUACUACCGACGACCACUUGUUGCCCUCGGAAAUAAACAAUUACUUCCGACAACUAAAACAUGCCCUUGGAAAAAAUAAUACUUUACCGACGAAAAUAAGUUUCUUCGUAAAUAAAUGUGGCUCCAAAUUUUCCCUCAAAAAAAUAGCUAUUUCCAACGGCGAAGGAACCCUUUUCCAAGGGCAUUUUGGGUGUUGAAAAUAGUAAACCUCUUGUCGACAUAUUUCUGACGGAGCAUAAUUUUUGGUCGGAAAUAGCAAUUUUUACGAGGGUAUUUAUAGGUCCUCGGAAAAUGUUGGUAGCAAAUGACCAUUUUUUUUGUAGCGACAGUUUAUGAUAUUAAUUGUGUGUAGCUUGAAUGGAGGAAUCCAAUCAUAAGCCAUGUGGAAAAUGAGGGAGAUGGGCUGGUUUUUGUCUCCUACACUAAAAUCUUGUAACUGGGUAAGAUUUAUGAAAUGGGCUUUCGUUAGAAUGCCCUCCCAAAAAUUAGAAGACAGAUGGUGGGAAACUAGCUGAGAGAGUUGUCCCAAACUUUGUGGAAUGAAGCCGUUCAUAAAAUUAGAAUAGAGGUCCAAAGUUUUCAAGGACGACAAGUUUCCAAUGGAAUCUGGAAUUGAGCCGUUCAGAAAAUUAGAAGAAAGGUCCAAAGUUUUCAAGGAUGAUAAGUUUCCAAUGGAAUCUGGAAUUGAGCCGUUUAUGAUAUUAGAAGAGAGGUCCAAAGUUUCCAAGGAUGACAAAUUUCCAAUGGAAUCUGGAAUUGAGCCCCGCAAAUUGUUGUGAUGAAGAUUGAGAUUCUGCAAACUUUUAAACAUUCCUAAGGAGACUGGCAAUUGGCUUCCCAGCUCACAGUAAGCCAAAUCUAGUGACUCUAAUGCAAUAUUUGGACAAUUAUAGAAACUCCUCCAAAACUCUUCUAUCCCCCCAUUAAAUUCGUUGUGAGAAAGGCUUAAGACCUUUAGUUUGCACAAAUUUCCAAUGACUUUAGGAAUUUGACUUUUUAAGCUUGUAUAAGAUAAAUCAAGGUAUUCCAGAGAUUUGAAGUUUGCAAAUUCACUUGGGAAAGGAUCACCGAAAUCAUUAAAGGAUAGAUCAAGUGCUAUGAGGCUGGUAAGAUUAAAAAGUGAUGCCGAGUUAAUGCUCUGCAGUGAGAGUGAAAUGCUUUCAAUUUGGCAUGAAGAUAAGUGUAACUCUGCUAAUGAAGGAAGCAUAUUAACAGCAUACACCCAAUUGACUCCUAUGGUGCUAAGAUUCACAUUUCCAAGAUUAAGGUAUUUUAGAGAAGAGAGGCGAGAAAGCCAAUUCAAAUUUCUGGAAGUUAGGUCAUAGUUCGAAUUGAGGUCAAGAAAACUCAGGCUUGACAGGUUACCAAGAGAAGGGGGAAUCUCUCUCCCAAAUGACGUAGAGGAGAGAUUGGGAUAUUGUAGAGUUUUAAGGUCCCCAAAGAACUUAGGAAUUUGAUUGCUAUGAAAAUCAUUAUAGCUUAGGUCCAGGUAAUUUAAAUGUUUCAAGCUCAACAGAGAAGCAUUUCUCUUACCUCCCAAGCUAAACUUUUCAUACAUGUCCCACUCUUCAUACGGAUUCCGGAGGUCCAUCUUCACCACAUGACCGGUGCGGUUGUUGCACGAAACACCUUUCCAUUGACAGCAAUCGUGACCCACCCAAGAGGAAAGCCUACCAGAAGCAUCAACAAGAUGUCGUUUAAAGAUGAGAAGCGCUUGUCUUUCUUCGUCGAUGCAUGGAUUUGUUUUCACACUGCUUGAAAGUGCACCACCGGCCAAACAGAAACAGAGUUUAGUAGUACUCUGCAUGUAGGAAGAGGUCAAAAGAAAAAGAAGGAAAUAGUGAGCAAUACUGGGGUGAUAGUGGGUAUCCAUAUCACACACAAUUUUCUUUGCUAUGCUUUGGUGAGGGAUGAUGUUUAGCUUCUAAAUUCAAGAAUUUAUAGGAAUAGAUUAUCGAUGUAGAUCGGGGAGUUGCAACGAAAGUCGUCUGAUGGAGAAAAGAAAAAAGGGUAACUGAAAUGAAUGGAUUGUGUUUACAAGUUUGCGAUGGGUUCUAGAAAUCAUCAUGCCGUGGAGACUUUGAAUUAAGGGUCUUUGGAGUCCAUUAUGUGUUGUAGAAAUUCACAACCUAUCAUCUUAUUUAUUCUUCUUUUCCUGUACUAUAAAAUUACGAAAACGAAUUUAGAUAUGUUUUAUAUUUUGUUCGAAGGAAAACAGAUAUAGAUGUGUCAGGUUGAACAAGUUUGCAAGUCCAUCGCCUACACCACACUUGGUGGUACUCUCUACUUGGAUAUGACUGUUGUGUUGUUAAUUACAAAUUUUCUAAACAACGGAAUUGUUAUUAACACUCCAAAAUCGUCAUUGUCACAGAAGUCGCUUUCUCAUUUGUUUUUCACUAAUGAGAAUUACAGAGAUUUUUCUAUGGAAGUUUCCAUUAUUGCGUUCAAUUUGUCAUCUCAACCUAACUGAGAUGAUAGUGGCUGUCCAUUAUUACGCACAAUUUUCUUUGCCAUGCUUUGCUGGAAAUGAUGUUUUUGUUUCCUAUAAAUUGUAGAAGUAGUUCAAACGAAAGUCGUCUGAAGGAGAAAAGAAAAAAGGGCGGGUCUUCACAACCCAUUUUACAAGUUAGCAAAUCCAUUGUCGACACAGCUGGGACCUGAAGAUUUCUAAUUAACGGUCUUCAGCUAGGAACUGUUCUCUUCUUGUGGUGUAAAAUUAUGAAAACGGAUUUAGAAAUGUUUUGUGCCAACGAAAAUGGAUAUGUGUGUCGGUAUGAACAAGUUUGCAAGUCCAUCGCCUACUCCUCACUUGCUGGUACUCUACUUGGAUAUGACUGUCGUGUCGUUAUCCCUUUACAAUUUUCUAAACAACAGAAUUAUUAUUAACACUCCAAAAUAGUCAUUGUCAUACUAGUUGCCUUCUUAUUUGUUUUUUCACUAAUAGGAAAUACAUAUAUUUUUCUAUGGAAUUUUCCGAAUUCUGAUGAAGCCGUGUAGGAGCAGAUGAUAACGAAUGCAUGAUGGAGAUGGCUAGCCACGGAAGUCUUGGCACUCUAAUUAGUCUUUGGUGGAAAAUCCAUGUACAACGGAGACUCUGAAUAGUUAGUCUCCUCCAGCAUCUGUUAGAGAGUAGAAAAUAUAUCAUAAUUGACGACAACAAAGUCCAUUCAAGAACAAAACAAGCAAACAACUGAAAAAAAAAAAGACUUAAAACAAGAACAGAGAACAUUUGUUUGAAACUCUGUUUUGUAGCGACGAGAGGUAGAGAGACAUAAUUCUGAUGUUUGUUCAAUAACGCAGUAUUUUAAGUAAUUUGUCGUACCAACUUUCCGAAAUCGUUAAUUUGUCAUCUCACCCUAACUCCGUUCAAUUUGUCAUAUAACUAAUAUUGGACUAUCAUAUUUCGUUUCCUAUAGUUUGGACUUUGGAGUGUCCCUUAAGCCAACAUCACAGAGAAGGGGUUAUGUGACCGACUAUGACAUAGUAAUUUGGCUUUCUAUACACGUUUUCGUGUGAUAGUUGAAAACACUUAUCUUACAAAGCUUUUUUGGAAAGUGACUUUUACACAACAAUUUUAAUUUGUCACAUACUACUUUUUAUUUCUAACCAUUAAAUUGAAUAAAUCAAACAUAAUCAAUGGAUGUAUAAGAGCAUCUCUAGUGAAGUCUCUAAAUAAAGAUAACCAUUGUAUAAAAUGGGUAUCAAACAAAUAUAGGAACAAAAAUGAAUCUUCAAUGGAUCUGAAAGUGAGUCCCUAAAGUACAGGGACUCAUCGAAUACAUAGUGUAUGUCUCACAUAUAGGGAUUGUAUAGGGACAACCUUGAGUGAAAAACGAAACCCACAAUCUUAAUUGAAGCUUUUAAUGUUUUUAAUUAAUUAAAAAAUGGUUAAAAUAAACAAAAAAAAAAUGUGCACAUUGAGUGGAAAACUGGACUCACAAUCUUAAUUGAAGAUUUUAAUGCUUUUAAUUAUUUAAAAAAUGUUAACAUAAGCAAAAAAGGUGCUCCUAAUCAAAUUAUCACAUAAAAUCAUAAAAACUUCAAAUUUUAAGGACUCUACCAUUGGAGGCAAUAUUCCUUUAGAAACACAUAGAUUCCAUUUUAAGUCAUUAAAUGAGUACUCAAAAGUGGUGGUAGGAAUACCUAAAUAUGGACUUUCAUUGGAGAUACUUGUGUAUUUAUUAUUUUCAUUUUUUUUCCCUUGCUUUUAUUCUAAAAUUAGGAAAUAGUUUCUGAAAAACUGAUUUUCGCACUAUUUUUUCUUCUUCUAUACUUUUGUUGGACCGAAUAAAAUAGAGAAAAAUCAAGGAACAAAAGAAAUUUAGAUGCAAAAAUCAUUUAUGACCUAGCAAGUAGUCACAGUAAGUUAAAUAGGAAAAUAUUAUACAUUUAGUAUUACGGUAAUGUCCCUCCACACUGUAAAAAAAGUCCCAUGUUUGAAUCUCAAGAUUAUGUGGCUUCAGCCCAAAUUCCUGUUGUUGUAUAAAUAAAAAUGUUACGCAUUUGCGUUUGAUCCAAAGUCCCCUUCACUCUCCUUUCCUCUUCACAGAGAAGAGAUCCAAAGGCCCAACCACAGCGUGUAACAUGUUUGGUCGUUGCUCACACAGGGCAGAUCAUGAACACAUUCAUGUAAACUUGUUAAAAAAUAAAGCACAAAAACCUCUUUAACGCCAAUUCAACAUCAAAUUAAAAGAAAAUACCGAAUCCUUUCUUUCAAAUUAACGUCAUCCAACAGCAAGCUAAGGGUCAGUUUCAGGGCACCUAGCGGUAUAAAUUGGACCGGAAGGGCAAAAUAUAUGAACAUAAAGUCGAUAACUUGGCGUUUAACUUUCCACAGAAGCUCAAACCAGCUGCAUCAGUGUUGGAUUUAGUGGUAGCAUGCCAUGCUACUCAUCUUCGUGGUUGGAGUUUUAUCGAGCAGUGAGGGGGACUUUGAAUCGGGAUAGUUACUUGCUUCCACAAGAUGGUUUGGUUAGCUGAUUGAGCUACUUGUGAUAUUAAUCUAUACGGUAGAAUAUGUAACGUAUAUGUACUUGUGCAUUACGUUUUGUAUUAUAUGUUGGUAGAUAGCUGAUAAUGGUGCCAACUGCACCUCGGACAAGCCAAUUUCGUGCACAUUUCAGAGCAGACAAACCUGUUAUGGAGUCGAAAAUCAGUUUUGAUAUGUCCAAGGUCUUCCUGCAGUGACGAUCAGACCGUGUAAACAAGUACGAAUCAUUAAAAUCAGACCGUGUAAGAUUAAUUAAGAGCUAAUUUGGAUCUAUCAAAGGAUGAAGGGAGAUAAUGAUUAAUCAAUGCAAUAUGUACCAUUAACAAGAAACUAGAUUCACACAGCAAUAGUAGGUCAUAAUUUCUUAGCAACAACAUCAUGUUGUUACACUUCUGUGAGAGAGAUCAUAACAUAAACGCGUGCAACACAACAGACUGAUGUGAAUUGCGGUACCAAAUGAACAAAAGAUUUUACAAUCUUGAAAACCCUAGAGUAGACAGACGCCAUCAGUAGAAGCGCCACGAAAUAUGGCUUCUUUACGACAAGCUUGAUCGAUGCCCUUCAUCGUGUUAGAUCAAUAUGAAAUACAAGCAGAAUUUUGUCCUGCUACACAGGCUUCAACAACUGCGGGGGAAAACAUGUCUACCAGAUGAUGCUGGAGUCUUUAUCUCUUGAGUUGUUAACAUUCUUAUCUUCACCAGUCUGAGGCCCCGUUUGGGAUUGAGGUGAUUUUAAAAAAAGCCACUGUGAAAAAAAGCUGAGGGUCAUUUUUGUGUUUGGUAAACUGAAAAAAAAGGGCUUAUUUUGGAAGCUGCUGUGAGAAUAAGCUGAAAAUCAAAGGAAAAGCUGAAGCUGCUAUUUGCUGCUUUGAAAAAAAGCCAGUUUUUUCAAAGCACACGGAGCUACAGUGCUCCUUUAAUGAAAAGACACACUAUCAUCCUGCUUUUUUUUCCAAAAGCACUUUUACAAAAAAGUUUACCAAACACUCUACUGGCUUUAUUUCACAGCCGCUUAUUCUCACAGCACAGCCACUUAUUCUCACAGCAGCUUUUUUUCAAAGCACAGCAAUACCAAACCAGCCCUGAGCUGAAUCGAAGUGGAAGCGUCUCCAAUGGUUUUAUCGCUGCAACACCUCUGAGAUCAAGGCUAGAGUACUUUUCAUAUGUGACCUUCAAACUUCCCACUCUUGCAGCUUUGUGAAAUAUUAAGACCAUCUGCAGUCUCUGCAACAAUCAAACAUCGAUCACUAAAAUUUAUUCUGAAGCAAGCACUAGAGAAUGAAACAAAGUUAUUUACUUGUCUUUAAAGCAGUACCUGAUUUGGGAUACUUCAUAACGAGUGUGUUUGCAGAGCAGCGGAGUCCAAGCCGGAGUAAUCUGCAGGGUGCACCUUGCAACAUAUAGGGCUGCUGCUGCGCACAGCAACGAGGGCUUGAACCUUAACGGUUCAUAUUCAACUAAGCACAACUCGAUAAGGUAGAAUGCCAAGUGUUCAAGCUGCAAAACAGUCCGCAAAGUAUCAGGCUGUUAGCAACUUUGCUGUUAUCUAAUCCAUAUCGAGAACUAAUAUCCACUAAACUCUGGCGUGUCAAUCUCUUUCCUUCUUAGUAACGGUGUUAAUCAUUAAUCAAAGUUUAUGUCUGUUAGCCUUAGAAACUACUGAACCCCUUUGUUUCUGACUGAGCAGCCUUGAGAAAUCUUAACAUGAAGUCAUAUGGAGUAGGUGCAUUAAGACGAAACUUCAGCUUUUUCAGAAAGGCUUUCUCCUAAAAAGCAAAGACUGUUUAUCUUAGGACAAGUGAAAAGGGACUAUCGAUUGCAGUAUUAUUUUUCAUCUCAGAAGAUAUGCACAAGGAUAUUUCCAGAUUCUAACAAAACAGUCAGAGUCUGACUACGAAAAAUACAUACCAUUCCAAGCACCUGUGCUCUCGUAUGUCUCAGCUGAGAUGCUAUCUUUGACCUGCAAUUUUUCUUGUAUAGAAUUAGAAAGAAAAAAAAAAAAAACAUGAAAAAUAAUGCAUACGAGUUGAGAUAUUGAUAUUUACCCUUGGAUGCCAAAAGUCCUCAUACUUUGAUGCCAACAAGAGUGCAGUGAGACCAAUUAACUGCAUGUCAUCCUUCUUAAUUGUGACUUGGGAAAGAUAUUGAUCAAGCAAUGUCACCAUGAGAUAAAGAGUUUCUUGCAUUAACUCGAAUUUGUAGUGUACCUGUUUCCAGAUGAACAAAUCAAGGGGAUAGCCACUAUUAAACAUCAUGAAAUGUAAAAUUGAACAAGGCAAGACAAAAACGAAUACAAAAACAGCAUAGUUCAUCAAAAGGUUAAAUCGGUACUUCAAUUAACCAGUUGACCAAUAUGCCUCGCAUAUGAGGAGCAAUGUCUGCCUGAAUCGACAUGAAAUUUUCUGGAGGUUGAUUCUGUGCCUGCAGUUAAAGACAAUUUAACAAAGCCAACAAGUCAGAAUUAGAACUACACAAAACCUACUAUCUUACCAGACUAAGAUGAAAACAGUGGUAUAGAGACAUCAUAACCAUUACCUCAGAAGUAAUACUGAUAGAUCUCAUCAACAUAAUCGGAAACUUCCGGUUGAUUGCAGUCGUCAUCAAUACUUGGCAGCUAUUCCACCUUCAAAGCUUCAACAUGGCCCUCUAGUAACUGCAAAUGGGGCCAAGUGUGAAUGUAGUUCAUAAGUAAGGAAUAAAGGCAUCAAUAGAACACGGUAAGCCCCCAACCUUUGAUCCAGUCAUCAAUAGAGAUGUGUAAGAUCUCCUCCUAUUUGAUUUUCUUCUGGAAAUGAUAGUUGAAGCACUCUGGCUGCAGCUGGCUUCAGAUGGGAGCUCUCCCUGAGUGGCUUCAUGCUUUUCAUGCUUAACGUUCUCAGGAAGAGAAGAAGUAGCCACUUUUUCAGUUUUGGAUGAAGUUGCAGUAGCAGAAACUAAUUUGUUUGGACCUGAUGCACCCUUGGAUUUCAAAGUCCUUUGCGACUCACGAGCCUUCAGUGUGGACAAUGUUGGCUGGAUCAUAAUAAAAUUAAAGGGAAGAUAAAUAGAACGAACAUCUAUUUCAUAAAGAUCUAACAUGCCAAGAAACAAAGUCAGGAUGAUGCAGUAAUCUCAUAGUAAUGUAAAGCAAUCACUCAGGCGAAGUACUAAAUUGAAUGCACUGCCGUAAAGCUUCAAGUUGGUGCCAAAAUGGUUGCCAUGUUAAGCAAUAACACAAGUCAACAGAUUUCAGGACCAAAUGACUUUAAAAAAACUGACAGAUGAUUGAAGUACUGAAAGUAAAAUAUGGCGACACAAAUGAAAUUGUUUUACUGUCUGAAGUAGACAAAAUUGAGCAACUACAUUUCAGAACUGGUCAAACAAAACGACACAUUAAUUCUUUUUUCCCAUUUGAGGAGGAGGAGGGACAUGAGUUCUAUUUCUGAUUAGACUUACCCUGACAGAAUUUCUUGGCAAUACACAGACAUUUGAAUUACGCUGACCCCUGCAAUCUCAAAUCACAUGCAAACUAUUAACAGAUAGGAAUCUCAACCGUGUUUAGUUAAGACAUAAAAGCUUAAAUGAUCAUUCAACAUAAGAGACAUUCAAUGAAUUAGAAAGUUAAUGAAUGUAGUAAUUCAAACUAUAGUAGUAAAGAAGAAUAAAAUGAAUACAGAAGCCCAUCAAGAGUAAAAAACAAUGUGACUAAACCAAAAACCAAACUCUCCAAUGCAGCCAUUCGAAAUCUAUAUGCUGUAACUUUCAAGACCAGAAAUUGUAUUCGCAUGUAGCAUUAUAAUAUCAAUUCUUAGAUACCAGGGGGCAAGAAAAUUGAUAAAUUUUCCUUUUCCAGGACAAUAUUAGAAAGAUCUAAAAAUAACUGGGAGGAGCCACAAGAUUCAUAAAAUUGGGGGUGAACUGCAGAAUACAUGUUCUUUGUUGUACUCCCUUAUAGUUUUACUUCUGCAUCUGCUGUUAUUUGCUUUGAGUUCUGAAAUUGACGUAUUAGUCAUGCCUGAAGUGAGAACAAACAAUCCUAUCCAUAAAAUGCAAGAAAGAUGCUUCCAUUUCAUUCAUUCAGAAGCAAAAUGAGGUUUAACGGAAUAUGCACCAGUAUCAGCAAAACCUUUUAACUGGCUUUAAGCGGGAUAGAAAACUAGUAGUAUGGAUCACUGUCACUCACAUAAUCACAAAGAUAUCACUCACUCGAUUCCUCAACAGAUGGCUCCUCGUGGUAUCAUUACUCUAGAUACUACUUUCUUGCCAACCGUAGCCUUAAUUGUAUUCCAAAAUGCCAUUUGGUCAGACAUCAUGUGCCACCCACUUGUCAAAUCUUAAAUAUUCAAGGCAUCUUACCAUAAUACCCUCUUUUUCUUUCAGAAUUUCUACCAGCAUUUUCCUACAAGCAGGAAAGCAAAAAAUAUAAAUGUCCAACUUGAAAUCCUACUCCUGUUAAACUGAACCGAGGAAUAUUAUUAGAAUGCAUGACAUCAACCUUCGGAAUACUUGCUUCCUCUGGGACCUUUAGCACCGACAAUGAUUUCCUUUAAAAUGGAGAGAGGAAAUAGAAAAUACAUCAAUAACAGAUACAGAUCUUAUCCACAGUAAAUAAACAAACAUGUCUGCAGGUCAGAUACCUUAUCAGCUUAAGUGAAGAAUUUGAAGUCCUCCUGAAAAAAAAGUUAUAAGUUUAAUCAAGGGUCUUUAUAUGUUUAGUUUCAUAAGCACAUGAGCCAGAUUAGAAUAUUUCAAAGGCACAACAAACAAAUUGCGGCACAAUUUCUAAUUUCUUAUAAAGAGGGAAAACAAAGGUGGCUCAGACCUGCCAUCUGUAACAAUAGAUUCGCGGUUUAGACCCAUAGCCUUGGUCCUUUGAUUCUCUGAAGGUGCCUUCAACUCUUUAAUAGCUACAGUUUAUCCGUAAUAAAAAAAAUUUCAAAUGGUACAAUUGCAUCCGGGAAACUAUCCCAGCAUUUCUGAAGUAUUAAAGCUUUCCCGCCCUUUUCCCUGAUUGAAGUGAGACAAAAAACAAUUCUUACAAUUGGAAGAACAACAAUAUGUGAAAUGAUUGGCGUUGAUACUCGCUAAGCUUGUCAAGAAAGACAAAACCCUGUCUCUGCGUUGUCAAACAUACAACGGAACAGUGGAAAACAAAAACUUAGUUGACCUUCAAAAAGCAAAACAUGGACAGGAAGAAAACUUUUUAAGUUUUGCAGCUUUUGUCCAGUUUGGGGGUAGCACUAUAUGAAAACUAACUUGAAGUACCCUGCUUAAAGGCUGUAAGUAACUAUAAGAUCUUUGAACCACUCAUAUGAGGGCUCUUUUGUUCAUUUUCAGAUUACAGAGAGAUAUCUACUGAAGUCAGUAGAACAACGUACUACGCAAUCAUGUAAAUAAGAGAGUUACAAGGAAAAAGCAUGCUAGGAUUUAACAUUCUUACCAGGAAGGAAAAUAACACUCCAUCCUAAUCCACCUCAAAACAAGCAGCAGAAUAAGGAGGUCGUUAGUUACCUUUAAAGAAGCUGUAUUCUCCACAGCCGAUACUUUGUUAACUGUUGCACCACUCCGGAAAUUAAAAGCAGCACACAGAUAUAAUUCCCCGGAAAAAUCUAGUUAAUUGCCAAGACCUUGCAGGAAGUGGGCAGAUACAGCUAAUAUCUAAUAUUUUUUUGCCUCUAUUUAGCUACAUCAUUGUACAAUGCUCCCAUUCUAUUUGAAUUGUUAACACAGUUUGCAUACAAAUAAAAAUCCCAAGAUUUAAAUUCUGGAAGGAAGGCUUAGUUGAUUUUAGUUCUAAAACAACUUACACAUUGAUUAAAACCAUAACAUUCGAUAAUCGAAACGAAAUUGCACAAAUUUGAAACUACAAUUACCUGAUCCCGGUAUCAGCUUUGGCAGUGUCACUUUCUGUAUAAACCUUAAAACAUGAGACACCAACUGUUUAAAAUAUCGAAAAACAAUGUCAGAAGUUAAUAAAUCACCUCCACAAGAACUUAAAACCAGCAGAAGAACCAAGAAUUGCGGUUCCACACCCGAUUCUGUCCUAUGCCGAAUUUUGGCUGAAAAUUACGAAAAACCAAGCAUGGUUUCGCAGAUGUCAGAACUGAUUUCAUCCAAAAGAAAAACCAGAGAAAGAAAUCAAAGAAAGUUAUCCGGGAAUCGAAAACCUUUCUGGAUUUUUCCGACCUUAGCAGCCAACAUUUUGCUUCUCUCUACAAGUGUCAUAGUGCUCUGCCGAUGAUCCAAUUUCUAGAAAAACCGAGAGAAUUUCAAUCAGUUCAAAUUUCAAAACGCAGCCCUAAUUGAAUUGAUUUUUCGAAUAAAUUCGAUUUUUCAAGAAUUACAUGGAAACGAUAGUUUGUCGAUAGAUUUGUAGGAGGAAGCGUACCUUAAACGACGUCAUUUUGGAGAUAUCUCUUGCUAUUCUCGGAUUCUGAUCUUCGGAGAUGGAGCGGAAUAAGAACAGUCGACCGUUGCAGAGGUCUGAGUCGUCUUGUUAAAUCGGCUGUCUUUAUUUUCGUUUUAUGAAAUAAACACGAUUGUACGUUACUACCCCUUUCCUAAUUUUUUUGGUUUAUGCAAUUGAUAAGUACAAACUAGAAAUUUUAAUUAAUUCCAAGUUAAUACAUAAUUGUUUGUGGGAACAUUUUUUUUAUUUUUAUUCAAUACAUAAGUUGCAAGUCCCAUAAACCAAAUACAAGGGAAACCACAAAUAUACAUAGUACUAUCAAACAUAAGAAAACAUUCUUUGGAAACGAGCCACUUUCAAUGCAAUUGCUAGUGCUACCUUGUCUUUGAUGUUGUCGAAGAAUUGAAAAUAUGCAUACCUCCAUGAUGUCUUUAAGAUCAAUGAGCCGCAAACCCCCCAAAAGCCUACAAUAAAACCAAGUACCAUGCUGACAUAGAACCACAACUCAUCAUUUCCACCUUCAUUCAUGUCUUUUGUAUCCUUAGAUGGGGAAGUGUCAUCUCCAGGGCACUUAGUUGAGAGAGGAACGCCGCAUAGCGAUGGGUUUUCCAUAUAAAUGGACGAAUCAUUGAGCGUUUGAAGCUGGUUUCCUGAAGGAAUUCUUCCAGACAAGUUGUUGUAAGACAAGUUCAAGUGAGAUAGUGAGGUUAAAGAUGACAAGCUUUGAGGAAUCUGUCCUGAAAGGUGGUUGUGUGAGAGAUCAAGUGUUUCAAGCCAAUGCAAGUUUCCGAUCUUGGAAGGGAUCUUUCCAGUCAAUUGAUUCCUAGACAAGUUCAAGGUACCCAAU
rnacentral:lncRNA from 1 species